UUACGAUCACAUCACGUUGAAACACCGGUUCCCAUACAGUCACCGAAGUUAAGCAAUGUUGAUCCUGGUCAAUGCCUACAUGGGUGACCGCUUGGGAAUACCAGGUGUCGUAA